rnacentral:misc_RNA from 1 species
CGCGAUCAGCAUCGCUCGCAAUCCUGACUCUAACACGGUGAACGUCGACGUCGUCACGCCGGAUCGCGAAACGUCGGCGCGCGUCGCCAACGCGGUGAUGGAUAGCUAUGUAGAGGAACAGGGUCGCGCUNNNNNNNNNCAGGCGCUAUGGCACCUCUCACCGCUCGGCUGGAAACACUCCGGACGCGCCUGCGAGAAGC